GGCUGGUCCGAUAGUAGUGGGUUAUUAGAACUUAUUAACAUUAGUGGCACUACAGUUGGUAUUCAACCCCUCACUGCUAAAUUUGACUGGCUAUUA
rnacentral:Y_RNA from 1 species